CCCUGCCUGGCCUCUCUUUGAAACCUGCCCAGUGACAGGGAUCUCAAUGCAGGGCAUUGCAUGUCUUCUGACAGGAUGCUGGUUUAGGUCACUCCCUCUGCCCUGCAAGCCAGCUGUGUCCCCAGCAUUUCCCAGGGCAGAGAUAGAUCACUCCCUGUGAGAGUGUUUUGGUGUCAGUGUGGAACGGCUUCCCUGUUUGGCCCCCUGGGUAUACUGGAACCUGGGAAGGGACCUCUCCAGCUAACCCAGGGCUGGGCAGGGAGUUACUGAAAGGAAAAAGGAAUUUAUUUUUAAUUUCCUGGGUUUUCUUGGCUGUUGCUUUGGAGUGGAGAUCAUUUAGACAUCUGGUACCCUGAUGGCCUGAGAAGAGAAGGAAAGUCCUUGGAAAGGAGUUAGGUGACUUCUGGGCUCCACAUGGACCAAACCCAGCUGGCAGUCAGAGGGCAAGAGCAUCUCGAUGCAGCGCAUACAGGCCAAUUCCAGGGUGCAGUGCAGCAUGGAAAAGGAGAAAUGUACCUGAAGAGGCAAAUGAAAGAUAUACAGCGUCACAGGCAAUCUUGCUUCUACUACCAUAAAAAUAGUUUACGUUUCUUAGACACUUA
rnacentral:lncRNA from 1 species